ACGAUAGUAAGUUAAUGGUAAACUCAAGCACUUCCAAUGCUUCAAUGCGUGUUCGAAUCACGUCCAUCGUA